rnacentral:tRNA from 1 species
GAGGGUAUAGCUCAGUGGUAGAGCCCAUGCUUAACAUGCAGGAAGUCCUGGGUUCAAUUCCCAGCACCUCCA